rnacentral:tRNA from 1 species
CCUGUAGUAGCUUAACUUAAAGCAUAGUACUGAAGAUGCUAAGAUGGACAUUAAAACGUCCCACAGAC